rnacentral:rRNA from 1 species
UACGAAGGGGGCUAGCGUUGCUCGGAAUCACUGGGCGUAAAGGGUGCGUAGGCGGGUCUUUAAGUCAGGGGUGAAAUCCUGGAGCUCAACUCCAGAACUGCCUUUGAUACUGAGGAUCUUGAGUACGGGAGAGGUGAGUGGGACUGCGAGUGUAGAGGUGAAAUUCGUAGAUAUUCGCAAGAACACCAGUGGCGAAGGCGGCUCACUGGCCCGUAACUGACGCUGAGGCACGAAAGCGUGGGGAGCAAACAGG